UUAGAUAAACAUAAAACUACAAAAUAAAUGAACCUAAAAACUGAAAGAGGAAUAAUGAAUAACUUUAGAAGUAAUUUUUUUUUCAAAAAGGAGGGUUUACCCCUGGCCUUUGCAUCAUCCCAUGCACACAGCCAUACUUAUUAAGGUUAGUGUCAAACAUCCAGUACGACGUACAUACAGUAACAAGCAAAAGAGCACAAUGCUCGAAAUAACCAGGCACGAACAAGAUACAAUGACUCAAUAUCAUUUUGUCGGUUGCACCCAUAGUCCAUUAACCCAUUGUCCUCCACGCGAAGAACGGUAGACCACACGCAAAAGUUGGUGGCUCUGUAGAUGACCUGCAAGAAGUUUUGGAAACUUGUAUUUGUUCAAGAUGAGGUCAUUACAACAAUUCCAUAAUGCCCAUAGUAAUUCGCGAACACCAACAUGUAUUUGUGCCUUAAGUACUGAGGGAACUACCGAACAUAUUCGUCAUGCUAGCUGGGGGUAGUAGAUUAAAAGCUUUAUUCGCCAUACCAAUGUUGCAAAUGGGCAUGCUUGAAACAAAUGUUGAAUAGUUCCCUCCUGAUAACAAAAGCAACAUUUCUUGCAUCCCUCCCUGCCAACGACGACUGGCCAGGUUAUCCUUGGUCAGAACUAUACCGUUGUGCAGGAACCACAUAAAAAUCUUUAAUGAUUCACCCCUCCCCCUGCGUCGCCCCCGUGUGCGACCGGGGGGAAACCCUAGCCGCCGCCGGUCCAAGUUCUUCCCUCGUCCCCCUCCCCCUCCUCGUUGCCGCCGGAUUCCGCUGGCGGGCAAAGCCCUACCGGCGUGGGCGGCGGCGAGGCUUCCUCUCUCCCCCGCGCAGUGGUGGAUGGCGCGGGCCGGCACCGUCAGGUGGGGGCGCUGCGCUGCGUGGGGCAUGGCUGUGUUUGGCGGCGAGCUCGCUGGCGUGGAGGGCCACGUCGGAGAUGGUGGGGUGUGUCGGGUGUGGCGGCGCCAAUUCGGGGCAGUCGAGACCUUCGGCUGCUCGGCCGCGUUAGGCAGCGCGGGGAGAUGGCGGCGGCUUGGCUGGGGCGCCACGCAGGGUGUUCGCCGGGGUGGUGCUCCCCAGCAUGCUCUGGUGCGAAGCUGGUGGUGAGCCCUGUGCCGGGCAUGGAAGCGGUGGGGCGGGGCUGCCUCUGAUCUGGCGGCGCUGUGCUGUUGGCUUCCUGGUGGUUGCGUGCCCGGUGUCUCCGACGCUUGGAGCUCGCCGGGCAGCGCGGGUUGGGUUGUAGCCCAGUGUGGCUGCUGCUCCGGUCGUGGGUGGCCCCACAGCAGCUUGGCAGGACCGAGCUUGUCUCGCGCCCGGCUGCAGGACCGACCUCGUCUCGUGCCCGGUGCUGCAGGACGGGUCGAUGGAGGCCAGUUUUGGCCGGUCUAUUGGGUCUCAGCCAGGGGUGCGAAAGGUGGGGUCUUUCCGCUCGCCACUUUGGUUGGGGUAGCAGCGGGUCUCGGGUGAGGUGGUGUCAAGGUCUUGGAUGCCGGGGCGGCGGCCCAGGUGGUGGCAGCGCGGUGCUCAUGGCCAAAGCCCGUGGCUCGGUGCUGCCCGAUGGCCAUGGCCAUGUGGGCAGUGUGCUAGCUGGGGUGUGGCGUUCGGUGGCGGUGAGUGUUGGCCGGGGUGAAAACCUCUAUCUUCGGACGGACUGGCGGCGGCGAAGCUCGUUCCUUUCUUGAAGGCGUUGUCGCGGCUCUCAUUGCCGUCGUGUUGCUCCUCUGAUCCUCGGAUCGAGCGCUGGUGGCGCUCCGCUGUCGUAACCUUCCUGAAGGCGCCGCCUUGGAGCCCACGGUUCGUCGUAUGCAGCUUCAUAUCUUCGCGGUGGCGUGUUCACGGUUGAAGGCCCCGAUUGCUCUUGUAGUGCUAGGGGUGGUGUUGCCGUGCCAGAAUGUAUCCUGCGUUGGGUGUGUGCGUGUGUUGUGUUGGCGUGCGUUUGUACCGGGUUGUUGAUGAUUGUUGCUUUAUAUAUAAAGCGGGGCAAAAGCCUUUUUGGUAAAUCUUUAAUUUCAAGGGAACCUUAAACUUCUAUAUAUAUAUUGAUCUUGCAAGAC